rnacentral:misc_RNA from 1 species
UGUCUGUAAUUCACUGCCACCUGUGCAUCUACAAAGCUGUGUUUAGUUGUGUCCAAAGCCGGGAUUCUCUAUUUCUGGGGCUGCCCUUACUUACUCUUCUUGUUGUUUCUUCAAAGGUGCAAAGUGGGAACUUGGAGAAGGGUUAAAGUGGUAGAAAGUUAUCAAACAAAAACAAAGAAACCGUGUUUUUUUUUUUCCCUUGGAGUUUUACAGGCAUGUUCCCUGCAGCCAUGUCCAAUUCAACUUCUUUGUCUGAGGACGCUAGUGCUUCUUCCGGUAAUAGAGUUCAGGAUUUUUGCUGCUUAAAUCCAGUGGUUUCCACCGUUUCUCCUCAGCAGCAGCAGCAACCCAAGAUCAAGAAGAAGAGAAGCCUACCAGGAAACCCAGACCCAGACGCUGAAGUGAUAGCAUUAUCUCCAAAGACCUUACUAGCUACCAAUAGAUUUGUGUGUGAGAUCUGCAACAAAGGGUUUCAGAGAGAUCAGAAUCUUCAACUUCACAGGAGAGGCCACAACCUUCCGUGGAAGCUGAAGCAACGAAACAGUAAAGAGAUCAAAAAGAGAGCCUAUGUUUGCCCUGAACCAUCAUGUGUUCACCACCAUCCUUCAAGGGCUCUGGGUGACCUCACGGGCAUCAAGAAACACUAUUGCAGAAAACACGGAGAGAAGAAAUGGAAGUGCGAAAAGUGUUCAAAGAUCUAUGCUGUUCAAUCAGAUUGGAAGGCUCACUCUAAAACUUGUGGAACUAGAGAGUAUAGAUGUGACUGUGGAACCCUUUUCUCCAGGAAGGAUAGCUUCAUAAC